CCUACGGGUGGCAGCAGUGGGGAAUAUUGGACAAUGGGCGAAAGCCUGAUCCAGCCAUGCCGCGUGUGUGAAGAAGGCCUUCGGGUUGUAAAGCACUUUCAGUGGGGAAGAAAGCCUUGGGGCUAAUACCCUCGAGGAAGGACAUCACCCACAGAAGAAGCACCGGCUAACUCCGUGCCAGCAGCCGCGGUAAUACGGAGGGUGCGAGCGUUAAUCGGAAUUACUGGGCGUAAGCGCGCGUAGGCGGUCUGAUAAGCCGGUUGUGAAAGCCCCGGGCUCAACCUGGGAACGGCAUCCGGAACUGUCAGGCUAGAGUGCAGGAGAGGAAGGUAGAAUUCCCGGUGUAGCGGUGAAAUGCGUAGAGAGCGGGAGGAAUACCAGUGGCGAAGGCGGCCUUCUGGACUGACACUGACGCUGAGGUGCGAAAGCGUGGGUAGCAAACAGGAUUAGAUACCCUGGUAGUC
rnacentral:rRNA from 1 species